rnacentral:rRNA from 1 species
CUUUUAUGGAGAGUUUGAUCCUGGCUCAGGAUGAACGCUGGCGGCGUGCCUAAUACAUGCAAGUCGAGCGAACAGAUG